rfam:Musa acuminata subsp. malaccensis Doubled-haploid Pahang (DH-Pahang) genomic chromosome, chr3
GAGCGGAAGCGCCGGAUUGAGAUGGCGAUUUCUGCAUUGAAGGUUGGCGACAACGAACUUAUCGCAGUUCUCCGUGCCUCUCAAAUUUUUCUCUGUUUUGAUGAUGGCCUCGAACAAGCUGCUACAUU